CAAGUCCCACCUGACUAAAGUUUAGCCAACAGGUCAGUAGGGAAGUCUGCGGGUAAGCCCGGUAACGGGAGUCCGAAGCCGGAUGGAUUAAGGGUGCAGGCUCUGAAUUGAGCCCCGAAAUAUGUAUAGUUGUGGUCAUUAGGAUAGCCUCUCGGAGUGGAGAGAG
rfam:Nitrospinae bacterium RIFCSPLOWO2_12_FTLL_45_22 rifcsplowo2_12_scaffold_26262, whole genome shotgun sequence.